GGCGGACCCAUAUAUACCAUUCCCCUCCUAGAUCUAGGGUUAGCAAAAGCAAAGACAGGAAUGGACAUUGAUAGAGCUUUGCUCAUCUACCCUCCCCCCUUGUGGUAAUCCUCUAUGUUGGAGAAGAAUCCAUUGGAGUAGAAGGCCACCCACUUGGUGAGACUCUAAGGAGUACAAGGGGCCAAUCAGUUUCACACACAGGCCCAAUAAUGGGGCACCCCUUUCGGCUUUGGGGCCAAGCCUCCCUUGCGGCUAGGGUUUGGGGCCACCCCUUUGUGAUGAGGACAUCACUACUACAGUAACACCCACAACUCCUGCUUCUACAUAUAAUGGACCAAUUACUAGAGCUCGUGCACGCCAACUAAAUUAUCAGGACCCAACAUGGACAAGAAGGAUGAACAUUGAAGCAUGAUUAAGCACGGAGAUGAUGGCGUGCGCAAGGGCAACGAGAACAGAGUUUCUGGUGGAGUUUUUCAGCACUUUGGUGCCACCAUGAUGACAUCCAAGGACAUGGACAAAAUAAAAAAGAUGGCCUUUCAUAAAUUAAGCCCAUAACUUAAUAUAGGUGUCGCGUCACCUCAUGUUUGGGCCAGGCCUAUGUAAUGUCGAAAUACAAAUCGGUAGGAUAUUUUUAGAGUCCUUAUUGUAGUGGAAGUGACUCAGGAGGUGUUUUAGUACUGCCUUGCCAAGGGUGGGCAAAAUCCCCUCUCCUUUCCCCAAUAAAUACAACCCUUAAGGCAACGUUUAGACUUGGGUUUUGUUUAGAUUAA